AUACUAGAUUACAUAUAUAAUAUAUAUAGAGAGAGAGAGAAAAAAUAUUGAACUUCAAAUUAGUUUGGCGUUGUUUUAAUCUGCAUUAAAUAACUGAUGAUGUGAUGUUUGCUGAAAUCAAUUGGACAGCCCUCCCUACAAAAUGUUCCACCAGCCACAUCUGGAUCUUUGGACGUCUCCUGUGUGUCUCAUGGACCAACAGCAGCAUGAAGGUAUCAGUGAGUCCACAGAGACACGUGUGACUCAGGGAGCCCAGCUGGUGAACGCUGAGCCCUCGUUGUUUGUGUGAUGGUGAGUUAGUUUAGUUUCAUCAGGACCAAACUGACUCACCUUCAGACAUCACAGCAUGAAUGUAAGUCAAUGGUGACAUGAAGUGUCAGGGAGACUGUGGGUGUAGAGUCCAACCAGAGGAUCAACGACGUCCAAGGUAAGGAGAGAAGGACUUCAUCGAUAACACAAGAUAUUUACGGUUAAUAAUAUUUGUUUAGUUUAUUAAAUAUAAUUAACCUGUAAAAAGAUGAAAUGCAUUGAUCAGAUCAGAAUUUAACCUGAUCCAUCAAGAUAAAAAACAGCUAACUCACAACUGCUCUGCACUUUAGCUUGUUAGGAUUUCACUUACUGUUACUGUACUGUUUUAUAUUUAUAUUGCACACAUUUCAUUUAAUAUAAGUUUUUUUUACAACCUGCUCAGUUUUGCGCUUUUACCUCAUUUCUGCCU
ensembl:lncRNA